AACGAACGCUGGCGGCAUGCCUAACACAUGCAAGUCGAACGAGAUCUUCGGGUCUAGUGGCGCACGGGUGCGUAACGCGUGGGAAUCUGCCCUUUGGUUCGGAAUAACAGUUGGAAACGACUGCUAAUACCGGAUGCUGACGAAAGGCCAAAGAUUUAUCACCAGAGGAUGAGCCCGCGUAGGAUUAGCUAGUUGGUGUGGUAAAGGCGCACCAAGGCGACGAUCCUUAGCUGGUCUGAGAGGAUGAUCAGCCACACUGGGACUGAGACACGGCCCAGACUCCUACGGGAGGCAGCAGUGGGGAAUAUUGGACAAUGGGCGAAAGCCUGAUCCAGCAAUGCCGCGUGAGUGAUGAAGGCCUUAGGGUUGUAAAGCUCUUUUACCCGGGAUGAUAAUGACAGUACCGGGAGAAUAAGCUCCGGCUAACUCCGUGCCAGCCGCCGCAGUAAGAC
rnacentral:rRNA from 1 species